CGGCCCAGACUCCUACGGGAGGCAGCAGUGGGGAAUUUUGGACAAUGGGGGCAACCCUGAUCCAGCAAUGCCGCGUGAGUGAAGAAGGCCUUCGGGUUGUAAAGCUCUUUUGUCAGGGAAGAAACGGGUGAGGCUAAUAUCCUUGCCUAAUGACGGUACCUGAAGAAUAAGCACCGGCUAACUACGUGCCAGCAGCCGCGGUAAUACGUAGGGUGCAAGCGUUAAUCGGAAUUACUGGGCGUAAAGCGUGCGCAGGCGGUUGUGUAAGACAGAUGUGAAAUCCCCGGGCUCAACCUGGGAAUUGCAUUUGUGACUGCACGGCUAGAGUGUGUCAGAGGGGGGUAGAAUUCCACGUGUAGCAGUGAAAUGCGUAGAUAUGUGGAGGAAUACCGAUGGCGAAGGCAGCCCCCUGGGAUAACACUGACGCUCAUGCACGAAAGCGUGGGGAGCAAACAGGAUUAGAUACCCUGGUAGUCCACGCCCUAAACGAUGUCUACUAGUUGUCGGGUCUUAAUUGACUUGGUAACGCAGCUAACGCGUGAAGUAGACCGCCUGGGGAGUACGGUCGCAAGAUUAAAACUCAAAGGAAUUGACGGGGACCCGCACAAGCGGUGGAUGAUGUGGAUUAAUUCGAUGCAACGCGAAAAACCUUACCUACCCUUGACAUGGUCGGAAUCCCGAAGAGAUUUGGGAGUGCUCGAAAGAGAACCGAUACACAGGUGCUGCAUGGCUGUCGUCAGCUCGUGUCGUGAGAUGUUGGGUUAAGUCCCGCAACGAGCGCAACCCUUGUCAUUAGUUGCUACGAAAGGGCACUCUAAUGAGACUGCCGGUGACAAACCGGAGGAAGGUGGGGAUGACGUCAAGUCCUCAUGGCCCUUAUGGGUAGGGCUUCACACGUCAUACAAUGGUACAUACAGAGGGCCGCCAACCCGCGAGGGGGAGCUAAUCCCAGAAAGUGUAUC
rnacentral:rRNA from 1 species